AGUUCCGGGCAGCUCCGUUCGCGCUCGGCGAGGCUGCACAGGAAAGAGGCAGUUGGGGCGCGGAGCGAAAGGAAAGAUCGUUUUGCUAUUGGCUGGGGGGGUGCAUUAUGUGCAAGCGGGGAAAUCCCCUUUAAUGCCUCGGCGCCGGAGUAUGCAUUUAAUGCGCCUUGAUGGCAGCGGGGUGGGGAGCAGAGCGCGCCCUCUCUCUUGGGGAGGCCAUUGGAAGGUGUGGUUCCUCCUCCCGCAAAUGGGGAGCCCAUAAAGCGAGGCCGCAGGUCAAGUGCCCUUUCCUUUAUGGCAGAAGUGAAACUCUUAAAGCCGAGAGCAGUGAGUAGCGUUGAAAGGUGAAAGUGCUCGCAAGAAGUGGCCUCCCCCGCUUUCUAACCUUUCAUUAUUAGCAGGAGCCUCGUUUGAGGAAGAUGCCCGAAUCAGUUGUCAACGUGUGCAAUUACAAUUACGGGAGUAAGUAGCGGUUCGUUUAUUACUGCCAACGGGCCAUUAACACGAAAUGCAAAAAUCACAGCCUCAAGUAAAGCAGAUUAAAGAGAGUGACAAGCUACGUGCUGGCAAAGUCUGAGAGGAGCGACAGCGGCCUUAACAAAUUUUGCCACCUGCGGAGUGAUGACAGCUUGCCGGAAAUCUUCCCAAAAUUUAUUAACCCAAUUCUCUUUUUAUCAGUCUUAAAAGGUCAUCUACACACUUUGCUGGCCCAAAAAAACCCCACUUUGCUAAUCUGAUUUAUUUCACCUUAAAGGUCCAGUGGCUUUUUUAAGGGAGUGUUUACAUCUGUACAUUGGGAUGCGGAAGUUGGGGGCCACCCAGAUGUUGUUGGACUCCAACUUCCAUUAGCCCUGUGGAUAGCUCAGCCGGUAGAGCAUGAGAUUCUUAAUCUGAGGGUUGUCAGUUCAAGCCCCACCUUGGGCAAAAGAUUCCUGUAUUGCACGGUUUGGACUAUAUGACCCUCCCGGUCCCUCCCUCCCAACUCUACAAUUUUAGCAUGACCAAUGGGUCAGUGAUGAUGGCUGCAGUCUAUCGGGAGGACAACAGAACUCCCUUCCCUGCUCUUCUUCAAACCAAGAUUGGGGCAGCGAAGGUUGCAAUUUAAGUUGGCAAGAAAGCUCAUCAAGCGUAUUUCCUGCUUUAGAACCAGUUGCAUGACUUGUAGAAUUACCACUUUAAAUCCAUCAUUGGACAAUUCAUUAUAUCAGGCACAGGCAAACUUGGCCUUCCAGAUGUUUUUGGGACUACAAAUCCCAUCAUCCCUAGCUUACAGGACCAGUGGUCAGGGAUGAUGGGAAUUGUAGUCUCAAAAAAAUCAGGAGGGCCAAGUUUGCCUAUGCUUGCGUUAGAUGUUGGCUAUUGCAAAGUGGUCAGCAAGCAGAGGCACAUCGAAGCAUUCAGUGACCAUCAUGGACAAAGCCUGUGCAGAAAAGGGGCCAUCUACCACAACACAUGCAGUUAAUCCAGUUUCCCGUAAGUGUUGCAGAGGAUGUUGUCCAUAUGGGAAGUUGGACUAACUGCCUGGGGGGUGUUGCAUCCAGUCAUCGUCCCUUUUCUGCACAGGCUCUGUAGGUAUCCCAUCUGCCUCCUAUGUACUCAAGAUGGGGAGGAGUCUCCUACAAUUCCAGCAACAGGUGAGUGCCUUGCUUGUGGUCCUAAGCAGGGUAGCUUAAGCCCUGUUUGCUUCUUUCUAAUCUUUCCAUCCUUACUCUUGCAUUUUAUGUUGGGUUCCCUUUCACCCAAGCCUGCCUCGUCUGCUCCUGGCUCAGUGACUCUCUUAUUCCCUUCCUUCUCGGUUUCUCCCCAUUCUGCUUGGGUGGGUGGCUGUCCUUUAAAAUAAAUAAAUGUAAAGGACCCCGGACGGUUACAUCCAGUAAAAAAUGACUAUGGGGUUGUGGCGCUCAUCUCGCUUUCAGGCCAAGGGAGCCGCCGUUUGUCCACAGACAGCUUUCCGGCUCAUGUGCCUAGCAUCACUAAACGGCUUCUGGCGCGAGAGAACAUCAUGAUGGCAAGAAUACUAUUGGCCCAAAAAUGGAACCAAGAAUUACCAACGAUGGAAGAAUGGAGGAUGAAAUUAAUGGACUAUGCGGAACUUGAUAAACUAAUGGGAAGGAUCUGAAACCGGCGGGACCAGAAGUUUACCGAGGACUGGAGUAAAUUUACGGAUUAUUUGAAAAGUAUUUGCAAUGACCAAACGACGUUUGUAAGUUUGCAAGAAGCUUUGUGAGGGAUAAUAUUAGAAAUAUUGCAAAAAUGAAGAAGGAGAUGGGAUAUGUUAAGAAAGUAAAGGCAAUAUUAAGUUAGGAAAUGCGUAAGAAGUGAAUAAGACGGAGGAUUAUCAGAGGUGCUGAUGGAAGUCCAAUAAGAAUGUAUUUGUGAUAAAUUGUGUGGUAUGUUUUGUAAUUUUGUAUUUUAAAACCAAUAAAAAUAUAUUUUUAAAAAGAGAGAGAGAGAGAGAGAACAUCUUGAUGGAAGCCAGAGCACAUGAAAACGCCAUUUAACUUCCUGCCGCAAUGGUACCUAUUUAUCUACUUGCACUGGCUUGCUUUUGAACUGCUAGGUUGGCAGGAGCUGGGACAGAGCAACAGGGG
rnacentral:lncRNA from 1 species